UACGAAGGGGGCUAGCGUUGCUCGGAAUCACUGGGCGUAAAGGGUGCGUAGGUGGGUCUGUAAGUCAGUGGUGAAAUCUCCAAGCUUAACUUGGAACUGCCGUUGAUACUAUAGAUCUUGAAUGCUGUUGGAGGUGAGCGGAAGUAUGUCGAUGUAGCGGUAGAAAUGACUUAGAUAUAACAUAGAACACCAAUUGCGAAAGGCAGCUCACUACCCAGAUAAUUGACACUGAGGCACGAAAAGCGUGGGGGAUC
rnacentral:rRNA from 1 species